GGCCUGGCGCGCACGAAUAACGCGUACGCACGCACGCGUGUGCGUGUCUGUGUGGCAUUCUUUGCAAAGGUCGCUUCUUGUCACUUUUUUUUUUGCGUCUCUCAUACACGUCGCGUUCAUGUCGCUGUCCGCUGUCCUUUCCCCGGUUUUCUUUCUGUUGUUUCUAGUAGUCCCUUCAUUUUACCUUAGUGGCCUUUGUUGUCCCGUGCCGAUGUGCCCGUGUUCGCGGUUGUGGCUGGAUAGUGUGAUUGCCGCUGUGGUGGCGAGACACGCACACUUCGGCCACCCACAGAAAGGUUAGGAAGUGCGGCGUGGCCUCUAGACGGCAGGGAAUGGGCUGCUCGUCAGUGAUUCCACAUGCACGUGCGCGUGUGCGCGGGAGACGAGUUGCACCCCUCCCCUCCUGCCACUGUCGUGUGGCGCUUCGCGUGAGAGUGGAGGGUGCAUUUCCCAACGCCCUCUCUGAAUUCUCCUCUCCCUCUCUUGGCGAGUGUGCGCAGCAAGGUGGCUUACUCGUUCUUUUCGCAUACUUGUACAUGUGUCUCCGUGUACGACGGCAGGCACGAACCUGCGUGAGGGAGAGGCAGUGGCCCCGUGACGCGAUCGGCGGCACGAC
rnacentral:misc_RNA from 1 species